ACACGCGCGUUUGUCAUGCAGUAGGAGGCGGGUCGGCGGACAGACAGGUAGCAUUUAGCCGUGUGUAAAUCUGUCAACGGUGCACCAAAACGUUGGCGAAGUCAAGCAGAGGGCAUCAACAUAGCAAGUUGUUGAGAACAAGGCUUAACCUGCAAGGCGAGACCUUCGCAAUCCACCCACCCCAGCUACCGUCCAAGUAUGGCUCAACUGAGCAGAGAUGCGCUCUUAAAGGCUUUGUGACCGUGAUGAGGGCAAUUCAUCCAUUUAUCAUGAGCCACAAGGGUACCCAUCCAGCAAAGUUUUUUACCAACCCACCAAACUGUUAAUCAACUAACCGCUUCCCAGGAAGCCACUUGUCAACUUUCUCUUCAUUAUUCAUUUCACAUCAAUCCAGUCAUCACUCAUUCAGCUAUCCAGUUUUCAACAGAGCCAUCAACCAACCUGUUGAUCAGUCUUAACCAACCAGAAUCCAACCAAUCGACCGACCGACCAACCAACCAGUCAACCAUAAUAGACUAAACAGACAGACAGCCAGCCUCUCAUCCAUCUAUUCUUUCAUACUUUCACCAUCAAUUAUUUUGUCCUCCAAUCUGCCAGCCAGUUUUCAGCUAGCAUCUUUACCAUCCAUCUGCCAGUUUGAGAAGGGCCACAUCUUAAAUAUUCGUUCGCAUCCGUCACAUGACUUUGCAUCUGCAGACGGCUACUGACUGUACGUUUACGACGGUUUGAGGUGAGCACUCGUGUGGCGGAGGGAAACGGAAAAAAAAGUGUAGUCCUCCAAAUGCAUGACAUAUGUUCAUUUCUCUUUUGAUUUCCUCGUCUCAUAAAACGAACAUCUAAUGCACUGCUUUGCCUUUAAUCAGCGCUUGUGCACACGACGCAGAAAUGCACCGGCAAGUCAGAGACGGCGCGACCACUCAAGCUCGCCGCAGAGGCACUUGGGCACCUCAGAAGGAGGUGCAGCCCGAGUCUGUGAGGUCCCCCCGCCCCCCUCCACCAAUCUUCCCAGCCAAAGUCGAGGCUCCUCGUUAAACCACAUGAAACAAAUGAGGCUCGUUAUUGGCAUCGGAUGCCAUUGGGAAACAUGACGACCCCCGCGUUUUCAUUGGUCCAGCGUGUGGAACGUUCUCGGGCUAGCUGGCACACGCAUGUAAGGAGCCUUGUACCUGAGCAGCCUUGGCUUCCUUCACACCCUAAGCGCUUGAUGUGGCCUGGCAGCCUGCCCCGUUUUACAGUGUGCUAAUCCGCAUGCAACUGAAAAAAUAAAAUCGCACACGCAGCCAGCCAGGUAGCCUCUAAAUAGCCUCCCAUAAUUGGUGGCCGUAAAACACUAUUGCAGUCUGGAAGUGAAAAGAAGGCAAGGCCCCUGACCUGCAACUACCGCUCAAAAAAAAAACAGGUGGACGUCCAUUAGGUGCUUAACAGCGUAACAAAUUGCAAAACACCCCAGCCUGCUCCGGCUCUUCCUUAGGCUAUCGGAUGGAAUGUGUCCCUAAUGUAAACACAGUGGCAAAAUUUACGAGCAGGCAAGUCUUGUUCCAUCGUAAUCAGGUUCCAGUAAAAAAAAAAAAAAAAAAAAAAAGACAAAAGGCUGUAGCGGACAAGCACAAAGAGCGCUCCUGGCUGUUUAUUCUUCCAACAAGUGGGGAAGAGACGGAUCACCCCUUGAGGCUCUGGACAGCUCUAAGAAGCUUUUGAGAGAAAGAAUCCCAGAUGGCGACUGAUCCAAAGACUAGCUCACAAACUCAGCUGCCACGGCCGCAGUUUAACCUCCUCCGCCAGUUCGUCAGCCCGGGUGACGGCCAAGGUCGAAGACGCUCACUUGAGAGGCGAAAUGAGAGAGUCGAAGGAAUUAGAUCCGGGCUGAGUGGCCCUCAUCUGGCUAAGCCUGGACUUGGACCUUGCCCAGGCCUGUGCAUUUGUUGACCCCUCCAAUCAGUUCCAGUCCUCCCACAUCGCAUGUCCUGUAAGUGGAGCCGCUAACGCUAAAGCUAACUCUAAAUGUGCUGUGACGACAGCACGUUGGAGUGCAGUCCAUCUUAGAUAUUUAAUACGACAGCUGUCAACACAGUCGGGGCACCAUCAAGUCAUAAACACAUGCUAAUGUUAUUUACGACGUGGAGUGGCGUGCGAUGUCACUAAACCUCUCAUGAAACAAA